rnacentral:rRNA from 1 species
UACGAAGGGGGCUAGCGUUGCUCGGAAUCACUGGGCGUAAAGCGCACGUAGGCGGAUUGCUAAGUCAGGGGUGAAAUCCCGGAGCUCAACUCCGGAACUGCCUUUGAUACUGGCGAUCUUGAGUCCGGGAGAGGUGAGUGGAACUGCGAGUGUAGAGGUGAAAUUCGUAGAUAUUCGCAAGAACACCAGUGGCGAAGGCGGCUCACUGGCCCGAUACUGACGCUGAGGCACGAAAGCGUGGGGAGCAAACAGGG